rnacentral:lncRNA from 1 species
AAAACAUGUGAGUUUUCUAAGGAGUAAUAAUUAUUGCACAACACACGCAGUCACACAAAUGUGUAAACAUAUCAAUCUAGUCAUCCGACUAGUUAUAUGCUCACGCAGCCAGUCACACAAAUGGCACAUCACCAGCACUCACAAUCAUUAACAUCUUCAUAUAAUCACAUCACGUGGAAAUUAGUCUGUGGAGUCACUGAA